rnacentral:rRNA from 1 species
UACGUAGGGGGCAAGCGUUAUCCGGAUUUACUGGGUGUAAAGGGAGCGUAGACGGAUGGAUAAGUCUGAAGUGAAGGCCCGCGGCUCAACUGCGGGACUGCUUUGGAAACUGUGCAUCUUGAGUACGGGAGGGGCAGGCGGAAUUCCUGGUGUAGCGGUGAAAUGCGUAGAUAUCAGGAGGAACACCGGCGGCGAAGGCGGCCUGCUGGACCGAAACUGACGUUGAGGCUCGAAAGCGUGGGGAGCAAACAGG